AGCAGUCUACAGUCAGGAAACUGAAAGCAGAAAAAGGCUGCAGGGAAAGGAGGCUGCAGUCACUCCCUGGGAGAUCAUCAGGAGAAAGAGGCAGUCCAGAGGAAGAGUAAGCCCUGAGAUCCUGCCCUGGAAGACACUCAGGAGGCAGCUGGACCUUACCAGGAUGGAUUGGAAGAAAUGAAAGAAAACUUGGAGGCGCUAAAACCCUGACUCCCAAGUGAACAAGAAGACUUGCAUUUCUGGUACACGGCCUGCCUCAUUCAAAAUGGUAGAAAACUGGGACCCAGAGUUAGACUUUAACCGCCAGAGCAGAGGAUUCUAAAUGGACAAUCUGGGAAAAAAAACAAAUGGUGUGCAUGAUACAUCUUCUCAUCUCCUUGUUCCUUCUCUCUCCACAUCUUUCAAUCCCAUCUGCUUGAGCACCGGGAUCAUAAGACAAAACACCCCUCCAGAGCUGGUCUCAGUAUGUCCCUAUUGAAAUGCCAUCAUUGCAAUGAAAAGCUGAUCCAGUGGAACAUAGAUGAAUUCAAGGCCCAAUGUCUUAUAGACAACUAGAGAUCAAAGGAGCCUGCUGAUGAAUUGAACUGACACAUGGUAUUAAUCUUCUGCCUCUUAACAUUAGGGGGACUGAAACAGAUGAAAAGUAUCAGCUAUGUGAGAUGCCAUAUAGAAAGCUACUACAGUUCCUUCCAGUAUGAAUGAUAUGACAGGAUGCAACCA